UAUAAUUGCGUUUACAUAUAUAUGUAAUAAGAAUCACAUAUGUUUAUACAUUUCUACCAUGUUGUCUGAAAGUGAUGAUUUUGGUGAGUGCUUUGUUUCUGAUGUUUCUAAUCGAGUUAUUGAACUGGAGACAUACUAAAGCAUUCUGUUAAGAUAAAAUCAAUUUAGUACUCAAGAGACAAUAUUUAUACAAAAUGUAAAAACAAGUAGUUUCUUCAACAAGAGAAGAUAUUAUUGGUUCAAGUAAAGCAAACGAUGCCCUUGGAGACUUGUACAUAAAUAUUUACUAGGAUAUUUCACGAUUGCAGCGGGUACCAUAGUUGCAGCGUGUUGCCACAACGUUCGGAUUAUCGAUGCAAUUACCGUAAAUUGAUUCCUCACAUAUCUUUGCUGUAUCCCCCGGCGCGUUUAUAGAUAGAUGUUUGCCAGCAAGAAUCAUAGUGCUUGUUUCUGAUU
rnacentral:lncRNA from 1 species